CGGGGCGUGGCGCAGCCUGGUUUAGCGCACAAGCAUGGGGGGCUUGGGGUCGCUGGUUCGAAUCCAGUCGCCCCGA
rnacentral:tRNA from 1 species